GUGGGAUCCACUAGUGGUUCUGGGGGGGUAGUGCUUUUGUGACAACAAUUUUGUGCCACCCCCCUAAAUGUGGAGUUUGAAAUUAUUUUUACAUAACUAAUUUUUGCUAUCAUUCUUUUUUUUACAUCCAUUAUUAGACAGUGGCAGAUGAUGAUUAAUGAACAUGGUGUUCCUGCAAUGCAGUGAAUAAAACGAUAUGACAACGUCUAAUGUAGCUGGCCCCUCUAACAGUACAACUGGCCCAGCUUGGCCCCCCCAGUUGAAAUGGUCUAGAACCACCACUAGUAGGAUCUUCCACAGCCCAGAGGUGCAGAAAUCGUACUGCCAGAGGAGUUGGGGAGAUCAGAAUGGGCAUUCUGUUUCAUGUUGGUAUUGUCAAGUGCUAGCCCGUCUCCAGAUCCAACCUGACACCAGGGUUGUGUUCAUUGGGCACCAAAUGGAAGAACAUCAACUGAAAUGCGAAGAGAGAGAGAGGAGGAGGAGGAUGAGAGGAAGAGGAGGAGAGCACUGAAGACGUCUGCUUACAAAUUUUUGUUACCCACGGUCUUCAAAAAUGGUUGGAUACAGACAUUGAUAAUGUGAGUAUAAGGAUAUUCUUUAUAUAAGGAUAUUCUUAAUUCACAAUACUGAACAUUAUAUACAAGCAUAGCAUCUGAACAGAAAUAUUCC
ensembl:lncRNA